ACAAUCUGAUCAUAACAGACAGAAGACUAGCCCUCCUGUCAUAAACUAUGUUAAAAUUAGACAAAAAUGCAUAAAGCAACUGUUUUCAGACGCUGGAAAACAAGCAGCACAGGAGUAUGAUCCUUGAGAGAAGAGAAACUAACAAGGUUAUGGUCCGGACUUGCUAUCCAAUAUGUGAUGCAGGGAGAGGAAGACCAAACAGAAAACAGCAGUCCCGCAGAGCUCAGAAGACAGAUCAGUGGUUUCAGGUUUUAGCCUCCAGCACCCUUGGUUCAAGGGUAGACGUCCCUUCAGCAGAUUUCAAUCCUCCACACAAGUUCUGGGCUUACUGUACUCCACACGGAGAAGUGAAGAAGGAACCCUCACUACUCCUCCUGUACCUCAACUCUGCCAUUGUCAGACAGCACUGCACUUUGACCCUUUACCAUCUCAAGUAACAGCAUGCUUCUGAGAAAACAUAUCUUCCUGUCAAAAUGGAAAUGAGUUCCCCGACCAGGAAUCGAACCCGUGGCCCCUGCAGUGGAAGCGCGGAAUCCUAACGACUGGACCGCCAGGGAAUUCCCAACAAAUUAGUAUUUUAUUCAUCACAAUAGGAUCUACAUUUCAAAAAAAUAGGAGAGCAUAUAGAACUGAAAUAUUUAUUCAGCCUAUAGACAAUGCUUGGUAUGCAUAUGGAUAGCCGAUCCAAAAAUUCCACAGCCAAUUCAGGUAUGUUCUGCCAACAGACUGAGAACCAAACUUUGGUGUAUCACGGAAUCACCUGUAAAGCCUGUUAAAACUCCAUAUGCCUGGCCCCAGGCACUAACCACGUCUUGACUGUAGUUCAGUAUGUGUCCAAUAGAUGUCUUCACACUUCUAUCCAUCAAAGGAAAGGCACUCCAGUAAACAAUACAAAAUCUAACAAUAAGUCACGUAACAAUGUAAUUUCAGUACAAACAGAAAAUACAAUGCUUAAUUUAAUUUUUGUUUCUCUUCUUUGGCUUUUAUUUGGGGGAAUUAUUUACCUGCUAUCUCCAGAAUCAUGUUCAUAAACAAAAUGGAAGACUAAUCACAAAUGUUCCUGGAUAUGAAUGCCAUUUUAAUGUUACUGUAUUUCAUCAAAUCUAAGAUGCCACUGAUUGUAAGGUAAACCACUGUUUAAUGUGCUGGAAAGAAAAGAAGGAAAUGCCUCCAAAUAAACCAUGACCCAAGCGUCUAUCA